UGCAGAUGAUGCAAAGAAUAUUUGCUAUCUGAUUGUCUCUGAUGACAAACUUAUCCACCAAGAUCGCUGAUGCA